rnacentral:rRNA from 1 species
AACGAACGCUGGCGGCAUGCCUAACACAUGCAAGUCGAACGAGGCCCUUCGGGGUUUAGUGACGCACGGGUGCGUAACGCGUGGGAAUCUGCCCUUUGGUUCGGAAUAACAGCUGGAAACGGCUGCUAAUACCGGAUGAUGACGAAAGUCCAAAGAUUUAUCGCCAGAGGAUGAGCCCGCGUUGGAUUAGGUAGUUGGUGGGGUAAAGGCCUACCAAGCCGACGAUCCAUAGCUGGUCUGAGAGGAUGAUCAGCCACACUGGGACUGAGACACGGCCCAGACUCCUACGGGAGGCAGCAGUGGGGAAUAUUGGACAAUGGGCGCAAGCCUGAUCCAGCAAUGCCGCGUGAGUGAUGAAGGCCCUAGGGUUGUAAAGCUCUUUUACCCGGGAAGAUAAUGACUGUACCGGGAGAAUAAGCCCCGGCUAACUCCGUG